AACGGCCGUACCAUGCUGAAUAUACCGGUUCUCGUUAGAUCACCGAAGUCAAGCAUCACUGGGCGCGGUCAGUACUUGGGUGGGUGACCACCUGGGAACACCGCGUGCCGUU
rnacentral:rRNA from 1 species